GUCUCUUUGGGGCCAUCUGAUAAAUUUGGAAUAUACAAAGAGGAUUAGCAUGAUCCCUGCUCAAGAGCGAAUAAAUAAAUAAAUAAAUAAAUAUAUAUAUAU